GACGAACGCUGGCGGCGUGCUUAACACAUGCAAGUCGAACGGAAAGGCCCUGCUUUUGUGGGGUGCUCGAGUGGCGAACGGGUGAGUAACACGUGAGUAACCUGCCCUUGACUUUGGGAUAACUUCAGGAAACUGGGGCUAAUACCGGAUAGGAGCUCCUGCUGCAUGGUGGGGGUUGGAAAGUUUCGGCGGUUGGGGAUGGACUCGCGGCUUAUCAGCUUGUUGGUGGGGUAGUGGCUUACCAAGGCUUUGACGGGUAGCCGGCCUGAGAGGGUGACCGGCCACAUUGGGAAUGAGAUACGGCCCAGACUCCUACGGGAGGCAGCAGUGGGGAAUAUUGCACAAUGGGCGGAAGCCGGAUGCAGCAACGCCGCGUGCGGGAUGACGGCCUUCGGGUUGUAAACCGCUUUCGCCUGUGACGAAGCGUGAGUGACGGUAAUGGGUAAAGAAGCACCGGCUAACUACGU
rnacentral:rRNA from 1 species